UUGCCCGGGGAUCGCCCCCCGUCAGCGCGGAUGCGCCCACGGGGGCAAAUGGU
rnacentral:sRNA from 1 species